CCUUUAAUGUUUGAUGUUCUAACGUGGGCCCCUAAUCGGGGUUGCGGACAGUGUCUGGUGGGUAGUUUGACUGGGGCGGUCUCCUCCUAAAGAGUAACGGAGGAGCACGAAGGUUGGCUAAUCCUGGUCGGACAUCAGGAGGUUAGUGCAAUGGCAUAAGCCAGCUUGACUGCGAGCGUGACGGCGCGAGCAGGUGCGAAAGCAGGUCAUAGUGAUCCGGUGGUUCUGAAUGGAAGGGCCAUCGCUCAACGGAUAAAAGGUACUCCGGGGAUAACAGGCUGAUACCGCCCAAGAGUUCAUAUCGACGGCGGUGUUUGGCACCUCGAUGUCGGCUCAUCACAUCCUGGGGCUGAAGUAGGUCCCAAGGGUAUGGCUGUUCGCCAUUUAAAGUGGUACGCGAGCUGGGUUUAGAACGUCGUGAGACAGUUCGGUCCCUAUCUGCCGUGGGCGCUGGAGAACUGAGGGGGGCUGCUCCUAGUACGAGAGGACCGGAGUGGACGCAUCACUGGUGUUCGGGUUGUCAUGCCAAUGGCACUGCCCGGUAGCUAAAUGCGGAAGAGAUAAGUGCUGAAAGCAUCUAAGCACGAAACUUGCCCCGAGAUGAGUUCUCCCUGAGACUUAGAGUCUCCUGAAGGAACGUUGAAGACGACGACGUUGAUAGGCCGGGUGUGUAAGCGCAGCGAUGCGUUGAGCUAACCGGUACUAAUGAACCGUGAGGCUUAACCUUACAACGCCGAAG
rnacentral:rRNA from 1 species